GAUGAACGCUAGCUACAGGCUUAACACAUGCAAGUCGAGGGGCAGCAUUGGAGUAGCAAUACUUCAGAUGGCGACCGCGCACGGGUGAGUAACACGUAUCCAACCUGCCGCUUACUCGGGGAUAGCCUUUCGAAAGAAAGAUUAAUACCCGAUGGUAUAAAGAGUUCGCAUGUUCUCUUUAUUAAAGAAUUUCGGUAAGCGAUGGGGAUGCGUUCCAUUAGAUAGUUGGCGGGGUAACGGCCCACCAAGUCUACGAUGGAUAGGGGUUCUGAGAGGAAGGUCCCCCACAUUGGAACUGAGACACGGUCCAAACUCCUACGGGAGGCAGCAGUGAGGAAUAUUGGUCAAUGGACGCGAGUCUGAACCAGCCAAGUAGCGUGAAGGAUGACUGCCCUAUGGGUUGUAAACUUCUUUUAUAAGGGAAUAAAGUGAGGGACGUGUCCCUUUUUGUAUGUACCUUAUGAAUAAGGAUCGGCUAACUCCGUG
rnacentral:rRNA from 1 species